rnacentral:rRNA from 1 species
GAUGAACGCUGGCGGCGUGCCUAAUACAUGCCAGUCGAGCGAACAGACGAGGAGCUUGCUCCUUCGACGUUAGCGGCGGACGGGUGAGUAACACGUAGGUAACCUACCUAUAAGACUGGGAUAACUUCGGGAAACCGGAGCUAAUACCGGAUAAUAUUUCGAACCGCAUGGUUCGAUAGUGAAAGAUGGCCUUGCUAUCACUUAUAGAUGGAUCUGCGCCGCAUUAGCUAGUUGGUAAGGUAACGGCUUACCAAGGCAACGAUGCGUAGCCGACCUGAGAGGGUGAUAGGCCACACUGGAACUGAGACACGGUCCAGACUCCUACGGGAGGCAGCAGUAGGAAAUCUUCCGCAAUGGGCGAAAGCCUGACGGAGCAACGCCGCGUGAGUGAAGAAGGUCUUCGGAUCGUAAAACUCUGUUAUUAGGGAAGAACAAACGUGUAAGUAACUAUGCACGUCUUGACGGUACCUAAUCAGAAAGCCACGGCUAACUACGUG